AACGCGAAGAACCUUACCAGGUCUUGACAUCCCAUGCAUAGCCUAGAGAUAGGUGAAGUCCUUCGGGACAUGGAGACAGGUGGUGCAUGGUUGUCGUCAGCUCGUGUCGUGAGAUGUUGGGUUAAGUCCCGCAACGAGCGCAACCCUUACUAUUAGUUGCUACGCAAGAGCACUCUAAUGGGACUGCCGUUGACAAAACGGAGGAAGGUGGGGAUGACGUCAAAUCAUCAUGCCCUUUAUGACCUGGGCUACACACGUAAUACAAUGGCACUUAACAACGGGAGGCAAAGCCGCGAGGUGGAGCAAAUCCCCAAAAAGUGUCUCAGUUCGGAUUGCAGGCUGCAACUCGCCUGCAUGAAGUCGGAAUUGCUAGUAAUCGCGGAUCAGCAUGCCGCGGUGAAUACGUUCCCGGGCCUUGUACACACCGAUACUC
rnacentral:rRNA from 1 species